GACGAACGCUGGCGGCGUGCCUAAUACAUGCAAGUAGAACGCUGAAGGAGGAGCUUGCUUCUCUGGAUGAGUUGCGAACGGGUGAGUAACGCGUAGGUAACCUGCCUGGUAGCGGGGGAUAACUAUUGGAAACGAUAGCUAAUACCGCAUAAUAGUAGAUGUUGCAUGACAUUUGCUCAAAAGGUGCAAUUGCAUCACUACCAGAUGGACCUGCGUUGUAUUAGCUAGUUGGUGAGGUAACGGCUCACCAAGGCGACGAUACAUAGCCGACCUGAGAGGGUGAUCGGCCACACUGGGACUGAGACACGGCCCAGACUCCUACGGGAGGCAGCAGUAGGGAAUCUUCGGCAAUGGACGGAAGUCUGACCGAGCAACGCCGCGUGAGUGAAGAAGGUUUUCGGAUCGUAAAGCUCUGUUGUAAGAGAAGAACGAGUGUGAGAGUGGAAAGUUCACACUGUGACGGUAUCUUACCAGAAAGGGACGGCUAACUACGUG
rnacentral:rRNA from 1 species